rnacentral:tRNA from 1 species
GUUUUAAUAAUUUAAUAUAAAAUAUUGGUCUUGUAAACCAAAAAUAAGACGUUUAACCUUUUAAAACU